UAGCGAAGGGGGCUAGCGUUGCUCGGAAUCACUGGGCGUAAAGGGUGCGUAGGCGGGUCUUUAAGUCGAGGGGAUGAAAUCCUGGAGCUCAACUCCAGAACUGCCUUUGAUACUGAAGAUCUUGAGUUCGGGAGAGGUGAGUGGAACUGCGAGUGUAGAGGUGAAAUUCGUAGAUAUUCGCAAGAACACCAGUGGCGAAGGCGGCUCACUGGCCCGAUACUGACGCUGAGGCACGAAAGCGUGGGGAGCAAACAGG
rnacentral:rRNA from 1 species